rnacentral:lncRNA from 1 species
UGCAACCUUGAGCUGAGCAGUAGUUUUCACUUUUCACUGUUCUUGUAGCUAUUUACAUACCGCGUCCUGUUCCCGUUUAAAGAUUGGGGGAAUCUGGUCAUCUUGUAGCCUGAGCUAUUGCGUUAGUUUCUGUUCUUGUCAGUAAUCGGUGAAAUUGAGUGUGGAUGUCGAUGCCACUAACUAGCUGCUGACUGUGCAUCCCAUCCUGCUUAACUAUGGUCAAAAUUUAAACAAAGUG